rnacentral:rRNA from 1 species
AUUGAACGCUGGCGGCAUGCUUUAUACAUGCAAGUCGUGCGGCAGCGCGGGGGCAACUCUGGCGGCGAGCGGCGAACGGGUGAGUAAUACAUAGGAACGUAUCCUGAAAUGGGGGAUAGCUCGGCGAAAGCCGGAUUAAUACCGCAUACGCUCCACGGAGGAAAGCAGGGGAUCGCAAGACCUUGCGUUUCUGGAGCGGCCUAGGUCUGAUUAGCUAGNGGCGGGUAAUAGCCCACCAAGGCGACGAUCAGUAGCUGGUCUGAGAGGAUGAUCAGCCACACUGGGACUGAGACACGGCCCAGACUCCUACGGAGGCAGCAGUAGGGAAUUUUGGACAAU